rnacentral:rRNA from 1 species
AGCGAACGCUGGCGGCGUGCCUAACACAUGCAAGUCGAACGUGAACGGGGGCAACUCCUAGUAAAGUGGCGUACGGGUGAGUAACGCGUAGGUAAUCUACCAAAGUGUCUGGAAUAACCUGCCGAAAGGCGGGCUAAUACUGGAUAGAGCGACGGAAUCCGUAAUUGGGUUUUUCGGGAAAGGGAGGCAGCAAUGCCCUUCGCACUUUGAUGAGCCUGCGUCUCAUUAGCUAGUUGGUGGGGUAACGGCCCACCAAGGCAUUGAUGAGUA